rnacentral:rRNA from 1 species
AGUGAACGCUGGCGGUAGGCCUAACACAUGCAAGUCGAACGGCAGCACAGUAAGAGCUUGCUCUUACGGGUGGCGAGUGGCGGACGGGUGAGGAAUACAUCGGAAUCUACUUUUUCGUGGGGGAUAACGUAGGGAAACUUACGCUAAUACCGCAUACGACCUACGGGUGAAAGCAGGGGAUCUUCGGACCUUUCGCGAUUGAAUGAGCCGAUGUCGGAUUAGCUAGUUGGCGGGGUAAAGGCCCACCAAGGCGACGAUCCGUAGCUGGUCUGAGAGGAUGAUCAGCCACACUGGAACUGAGACACGGUCCAGACUCCUACGGGAGGCAGCAGUGGGGAACAUUGGACAAUGGGCGCAAGCCUGAUCCAGCCAUACCGCGUGGGUGAAGAAGGCCUUCGGGUUGUAAAGCCCUUUUGUUGGGAAAGAAAAGCAGCAGGUUAAUACCCCGCUGUUCUGACGGUACCCAAAGAAUAAGCACCGGCUAACUUCGUG